rnacentral:lncRNA from 1 species
UAAAUUUAUGUAAUUUGACAAUUAAUCUACCUCACUUGCUUGUGGAUAUGUAUUCAUUUCCUACCACUGUAGUGGAAGAGAGACUAUCCCUGUCUUUACACCCGGUAGCAUUUCCAACAGUAAGCUGUGAGAUUCUGCUUGAAAUCACCUCUCAAACAAAUAAAAAACAGACCUGGGAAAUGUGCUACACUCAUUCUGCUGAAGAAAUUGACAUCAUAGCUGGGGAAACAGGGAUUCAAAAGAUCCAGGCUGUUCCCUACAUAUUUUUCCUCCUCAGACAUCAGUUCAUCAGUCAAUCAAGUCAGGUGAGAGUGGAGGCCAUGUAUUCCUUAUUCUUGGGCACUGUCCUCCAAGGAGGAAGAGGCCAGGAGGUCCUGUUAGAGGAUGCACUCUGAGAGGCCGGGCUCCCUAAGGUGUGAGGGUUCUAACCAGCAGGUGUAGACUUUUCAGGAGUGAGGAAUGAGGCAGGCAUUCCAAACCUGGAGCUUCAUCACCUUUUGUUUCAUCUCAAGACAAUUCUGAGGGGCUGUUUUGGAACGUGUCUGGAAGGUGAACAUUGAAGAAGAGUGGGCUUUGAUGUGACUCAGAUAAGAUCUUUCAUGGGGAGGCAGGAAUUUAAUGCCCAGAAUCUGGGCUGGUGUCUUUGAGGUCAGUGGGUUGCCUUUUUGUAUCCAAGUCCAUUGUUACUAGGUUGGAGGCUGGAGAUUCUAAAUGGCUUCCAGACCGCCUCUCUGAUUCUCUUUUGGAGAUGGGGUCUGAAAAAGACAAUGUCAGUAUUUUUGGGAAAUUCUGGAAAGUCUGUUUGGAAACCUGUCAAGACCUCUUGCCUAGUGCCUAAAUUCUCAAUGUGCAGCUCUAGCCAUGUAGAUUUUGGAGGUAAGAGCUGGGUUUGCAUUUAUAUCAGCAAAACCUAUGGCAGAGUGAAGAAGUAAUCAGGACAAAGUGCUUGGUCGCAGCCAGAGAACAUCUUAAAAGCAAACUUCUAGCCUGCUGACUCUUGGCAAUGAGUGUUGGGUCCUGGCCAAAGUGCCUUGAAUGCAGCAUGAAGCCAAUCCAUAAAUCCAACUUCUAAUGGAGAAAUGUUAAUAUUUUUUCAGUUUGAAUCAAUCAGGGUGAAAUUACCAUGCUAUUGGUUUGUUUACUUUUUAUUAUUUCAUAUAAAAUCUAAGACAAAAUACAUUAAACGCUUAUUGACAUAUGUAUUUAUUCUUCACCUGGCUCAUAACAUUUGCCUAAUUUUAAACUUUCUUCUAUUAUGUAGGUUUCAACUUAUUUUAUUGUAAGAUAUUUUUAAAUCUAAUACAGGCAUUGUCACCUUUACAUGUAAUUUCAUUUUAUUUCAUAUAUUUCCUAUUCGCUUUCUAUAUUUAAAUUAUGGACUGUUUCAUCAUAUAAAAAGCUUCAUUUCUGUUUUAAAAAUAAUUCUUUGGGUUUUUUUGGUCUUGUAAUUUCCAUAUUACAUAGUAAUGAGAUAAAUAUUAAUGUUUCCGGGUAUUUAAAUUUUAGAUAAUUACUCAUUGUAUCCAUGUGAAAUUUGUUUUUACUGCUGUGGGGUUGAGAACUGUUUUCUCUUCUGAUUGUCUUUACUGUGAUCUCCUCAGAACUCAUACCUCUCGUAGUUGGGGGAUUGCAGUUUAGAAUUCCAAUAAAUGGGGCAAAUUCAACAAUAACAUAAUGCAUAUGAGUUUGAAAGGAGGACAUGUCUUCAAAGCAUACACAAAUGGGCCUACAUAUGUACAACAAUAAUUUAUAAGUUACAGUUUGGAUGGAAAGUAAAAGUACGGAAAAUUUGUUAAAGUAAAUUAAAAUGGAGAUCAUGUCUCAAUAAUCUCUGAGCAGACAAAAUUAGUUAGGUCUCAUAAGUGAUCUCGACCUGCUUGAUUUGCAAAUAAAAGCAAAACUUAAAUUAUUUCUUGUAGCUGCAUAUUUAAAAAACAGAAAUGAAGCUCAACCAAUCAGGAGUAGCCAACAACCUUAUAUAAAUAGAAACUGUCCAACAAGGUAAACAGACAAACAGAAAACAAUAAAAAAAGUUGUGCUACCACCAAUUAAAUGAUUUAUUUGUUUCUACAUUUUUCCAAUAAAUACUUGCUUCUUACACAGUCAGUGAAGCACUAAAUAUCUUUUGGUCUGAUAUUUUAUAAUUUAUCAAUUGUCUUAAAUAACAUUUAC